UACGUAGGUGGCAAGCGUUGUCCGGAAUUAUUGGGCGUAAAGCGCGCGCAGGCGGUCCUUUAAGUCUGAUGUGAAAGCCCACGGCUCAACCGUGGAGGGUCAUUGGAAACUGGGGACUUGAGUGCAGAAGAGGAAAGCGGAAUUCCACGUGUAGCGGUGAAAUGCGUAGAGAUCGGGAGGAACACCAGUGGCGAAGGCGGCUACCUGGACCAGCACUGACACUGAGGCACGAAAGCGUGGGGAGCAAACAGG
rnacentral:rRNA from 1 species